rnacentral:rRNA from 1 species
AGAGAGAGACAUGCGCGCAUAUCAAUAAGCGGAGGAAAAGAAACUAACAAGGAUUCCCCUAGUAACGGCGAGUGAAGCGGGAAGAGCUCAAAUUUGAAAUCUUAAAGGGUUUCCCUUUACGAAUUGUAGUUUAAAGAAGUGUUUUCUGUUGAGGUUUUGGUAAAAGUUCUUUGGAAUAGGACAUCAUAGAGGGUGAGAAUCCCGUAUUUGACCUUUACUUUCAACUUUGUGAUACACUUUCAAAGGGUCGGAUUGUUUGGGAAUGCAGUCCAAAAUGGGUGGUAAAUUUCAUCUAAAGCUAAAUAUUGGCGAGAGACCGAUAGCGAACAAGUACCGUGAGGGAAAGAUGAAAAGAACUUUGAAAAGAGAGUUAAACAGUACGUGAAAUUGUCAAAAGGGAAGCGUUUGACACCAGUGUUGUUUUUCUGAAAAUCAAUUAAAGAACUGUUUAUGCUAAGUUGUUUAGACUUUAUCAGCUAACUGUUUAGUUUUGAGCUUUUCUUUAAUGCACUUUUCAGUUAACAAGUCAACAUCAAUUUCUUUUGCUGUAAAAAAGCUUGAGGAAGGUGGCUUGAGAUUCGUCUUAAGUGUUUAUAGCCUCUUGCCUAUGCAGUCGGAGAGAUUGAGGUCUGCAGCGUAGAUCCUUCGGGGCUAAAUGCAUUUGUGCUAAGUUAUAGCAUUUUAUAGACAACUUGUUGACUAUGAUUUGUCUUGUAGCUUACUCGCUUAUGUUAUUUUACCUACGCUUAGGAUGUUGACGCAUGAGAUAUACGC